rnacentral:tRNA from 1 species
AAUUAAUUAGUUUAAUUUAAAACAUUGAUUUGUGAUAUCAAAAAUAUAUACUAAUAUAAUAAUUU